AUCCCCCGUCUGUCCGGGGAGGAGUCGCCCAUGGGGAUUGGGCAAUGGCAUUGGCAAUCGCAGUUUGAGCGGCCCCACUUUAAGCGGGAAACUUCCGAGAACCGUUACGUUCUAUACCAACGUUUAAAACGCUGCCCUUCCGCCCUCGUCCUCCCGUUCCUCUUGACCUCAUUGGCCGCCUGAAUCCUCUCGAUUGGUUAGGGUUUCUCUCUCUCUCCUCUUGUCUCUGCGGCUCUCCCCCGUCCGCUAUGGAACAGGUGAAGAAGUCGGCUGCUUGGGUCGCUGCGCGUUCUACACAUGUGACGGUUGACUCUUCAGCACUCGAGAAACUAGUAGAUAAAUUAGAAGGCUCACUUCCACAAGUUAAUUGGGAUUUCGAAGGGAUUCAUUAUUUUGAUAAUGGGCCACUUACUGUUCAAUAUCUUCUUGUGUUGGACGCUCUCAACUUUUGUUUUUGGCCAGAUGAAGAACUAGAUUACUCUCAUUUAGCUUCAGGGUUGAAAAGUGCACUUGAAAAUGAUAAAUCUGCUUUUGAUGCGGACCGAUUGCAAAGUUAUACUGGUCAGGAGCUCCGUGCGAUACUUAAAUGGCCACGCCCACUUCCUUUGGAGGAUGAACGUGUCCGCCUGCUGCAUGAGGUAGGGCUAGAAUUGGAGAGAAGCUUUGAUGGCAAGGCAGUUAACCUUGUGGAACGUAGUGGAAAAUCUGCUGUCACCCUGGUUGAUCUUAUUGCACGCCACUUCCCAGGCUUCAGAGAUCACUCGGUAUACAAAGGUCACCAGGUUUUCCUCUACAAGAGGGCACAAAUAUUUGUGGCGGACCUGUGGGGUGCAUUUAAAGGGGAAGGAUAUGGUGCAUUUGGUGAUAUCAGCUCUCUUACGAUAUUUGCGGACUACAUAGUUCCGGCUAUUCUUCGUCAAUAUGGGGUGCUGAACUAUGACUUGUCUUUGGCUAAAGCAAUUGACUCUAAUUCUGAAAUAAGUGCAGGUUCUGAACCAGAAGUCGAAAUACGCGCUUGCUCUAUUUAUGCUGUUGAAAAGAUGAAGGAUUUAAUCAAGGCGAAACUUGGGCAGCGGGUUCUCAGUAUAGAGUUGGACCUUUGGCUCUGGGCUUUGGGGGUACAACGUCAAUCAUUACAGCACCAUCGCACCCUCUCCGUGUAUUAUUGAUUGGAUUUUUACAACAGAUCCUAUUACGUGCAUUGACGUCAUAAGAAAAUUUUUGUGUUGCUGCUCCAGAGGGAAAAACUGAUGGCGCGAAGAGAGGUUGAAAUUGGUUGCACUCCUAGGUGGGCAAUGGGGACCUCAAGGUUGUUUUUUAACCAUUAAUGGGUCCGAUGAUGGUGAGAGAUUCCCUUGAAUAAGGGAAAAAGAAAGAAACAAAGUGCUGCUUCCUCCUGAAGACCCCAUUCAUUUCUCAUUCUGAUGAUUCCAAGCUUCCUUUUCUAGCAGGGAACUGGAACAUCUGUGCCAUAUCGCCAAUAGAAGGGCACGACAGAGACUGAUAAAAGGGUAUCUAUCCAAAGUCUUGGUCAUCACCAAUUGCUUUUCUGCGCCAACGUAGUUUCUUCACCUGUUAGACACGUGGGGGCCUGCCAUGGUGGUCGUGAGAUAUGAUAAAAGGAGCUGCCGGAAAGGAGACGGUCCAAGAUGGUAGCUGCCUGGCGAAUGAUGCCCUUGGACUCAUCUGCUCCUCCAGUGUUUGAGGAUGUGAAACCUUGUUAUGUUCUCUUUACAAGGCUGACAUCAUGGCCUUUUAUGCCACACACCAGUCUUGUCUGGAGUUUGGUAUAAGAAAAUUUCGAUGGUCUAGAUAUUUGCAAAACCAAAGUUUAAGAAAUAAGAACCACGCAUUU